UUUCUCUAUAGAUCAGUUUUCCGAUUACCUGCUGCCUCUAAUAAAUUGCCAUUGAAACGAACAAAUAUGCAAAGUCAAAACUUCUCCUUCUUUGUCGAUACUUAAUCGCCUUCCACCGCCAUUUACAGAUGCCAACACUAGGCCUUAACAGUGUAAAAGUCAAGAUCAACAAGGUGCUCAGAAUUUGUGGGAGUGAUGUUCAACCCUUCAAGAUGUUUCAAGCUUUAACUAGGGAUCCCUUAGCAUCCUUGAGUUUAUAAAUUUAUGCAACUCCUUGUAUAAAGUUAUUCUCAUACAAUGCAAUUAUGACAGAAUGUCAAUCUCACGAAGUGUCAAUCUCACAGAAUAAU